GUGGGGAAUAUUGGACAAUGGGGGCAACCCUGAUCCAGCAAUGCCGCGUGUGUGAAGAAGGCCUUCGGGUUGUAAAGCACUUUUAUCGGGAACGAAACAUUGUCGGCCAAUACCCGGCAAGACUGACGGUACCCGAGGAAUAAGCACCGGCUAACUCCGUGCCAGCAGCCGCGGUAAUACGGAGGGUGCAAGCGUUAAUCGGAAUUACUGGGCGUAAAGCGUGCGCAGGCGGUUUGUUAAGUCCGUUGUGAAAGCCCCGAGCUCAACUUGGGAAUUGCAGUGGAUACUGGCAGGCUGGAGUACGGUAGAGGAAGGUGGAAUUCCCGGUGUAGCAGUGAAAUGCGUAGAGAUCGGGAGGAACACCAGUGGCGAAGGCGGCCUUCUGGACCAGUACUGACGCUCAUGCACGAAAGCGUGGGGAGCAAAC
rnacentral:rRNA from 1 species